UACUAAAAUUUUAUCCAUUUGUAUUGUUAAAAACCAACAUGGCUGCCGGAAUAACCAAACAAUGACAUGAGGCGUGCAACGCAUACCUCAUACUAAUGUAAAGAGACAAGUUUUUAACAGUAAAAAUGAAUAAAAUUUUGAACA
rfam:Gossypium hirsutum cultivar TM-1 unplaced genomic scaffold scaffold290.1, whole genome shotgun sequence